rnacentral:rRNA from 1 species
AGAGUUUGAUCAUGGCUCAGGAUGAACGCUAGCUACAGGCUUAACACAUGCAAGUCGAGGGGAAACGACAUCGAAAGCUUGCUUUUGAUGGGCGUCGACCGGCGCACGGGUGAGUAACGCGUAUCCAACCUGCCCACCACUUGGGGAUAACCUUGCGAAAGUAAGACUAAUACCCAAUGACGUCUCUAGAAGACAUCUGAAAGAGAUUAAAGAUUUAUCGGUGAUGGAUGGGGAUGCGUCUGAUUAGCUUGGUUGGCGGGGUAACGGCCGCCAAGGCUACGAUCAGUAGGGGUUCUGAGAGGAAGGUCCCCCANAUUGGAACUGAGACACGGUCAAACUCCUACGGGAGGCA